CUCAGUAACGGCGAGUGAAGCGGUAACAGCUCAAAUUUGAAAUCUGGCCUCACGGUCCGAGUUGUAAUUUGUAGAGGAUGCUUCGAGCAUGGUCUGGCCUAAGUUCCUUGGAACAGGACGUCAUAGAGGGUGAGAAUCCCGUAUGCGGCCAGGUGCCUACGCUCAUGUGAAGCUCCUUCGACGAGUCGAGUUGUUUGGGAAUGCAGCUCAAAAUGGGUGGUAAAUUUCAUCUAAAGCUAAAUAUUGGCCAGAGACCGAUAGCGCACAAGUAGAGUGAUCGAAAGAUGAAAAGCACUUUGGAAAGAGAGUUAAACAGUACGUGAAAUUGUUGAAAGGGAAGCGCUUGCAACCAGACUUGCGCGCGGCCGAUCAUCCGGUGUUCUCACCGGUGCACUCGGCCGUGCUCAGGCCAGCAUCGGUUUUGGCGGCUGGAUAAAGGCCCUAGGAAUGUAGCUCCUCUCGGGGAGUGUUAUAGCCUAGGGUGCAAUGCAGCCUGCUGGGACCGAGGACCGCGCUUCGGCUAGGAUGCUGGCGUAAUGGUUGUAAGCGGCCCGUCUUGAAACACGGACCAAGGAGUCUAACAUCUAUGCGAGUGUUUGGGUGUCAAACCCAUACGCGUAAUGAAAGUGAACGGAGGUGAGAACCCUUAAGGGUGCAUCAUCGACCGGUCCUGAAAGUUUACGGAAGGAUCUGAGUAAGAGCAUAGCUGUUGGGACCCGAAAGAUGGUGAACUAUGCCCUGAAUAGGGUGAAGCCAGAGGAAACUCUGGUGGGAGGCUUCGCAGCGGUUUCUUGAACGUGCAAAUCCGAU
rnacentral:rRNA from 1 species